AUUUGUACAAGCCGCUUUUUUUGUGUAGUCUAUCAAAUGAAGCGACUUGUGCAAAUGA
rfam:Monodelphis domestica chromosome X, whole genome shotgun sequence.